rnacentral:rRNA from 1 species
UACAGAGGGGGCAAGCGUUGUUCGGAAUUACUGGGCGUAAAGGGCGCGUAGGCGGCCCGCUAAGUCGAACGUGAAAUCCCCGGGCUCAACCCGGGAACUGCGUCCGAUACUGGCGGGCUUGAAUCCGGGAGAGGGAUGCGGAAUUCCAGGUGUAGCGGUGAAAUGCGCAGAUAUCAGGAGGAACACCGGUGGCGAAGGCGGGUCUCUGGGCCGAUACUGACGCUGAGGAGCGAAAGCGUGGGGAGCGAACAGG